GAGAUCAAAAAGUGGAACGCCGUUUCUCUCUGGGCUUGGGAUAUUGUGGUAGAUAAUUGUGCCAUCUGUAGGAAUCACAUCAUGGAUCUGUGUAUCGAGUGUCAAGCUAAUCAAGCUAGCGCAACAAGUGAGGAAUGCACAGUUGCUUGGGGUGUUUGCAACCAUGCAUUCCACUUCCAUUGCAUUAGCAGGUGGCUCAAGACUCGUCAAGUGUGUCCACUUGAUAACAGCGAGUGGGAGUUUCAGAAGUAUGGUCACUAGAAUUUACUGUUGGUGUACAGUGAAUGAGAGGAGCUUCAAAACUAUGGUCAUUACAGUUUUUCUGUCAUCGACGUUGAAAAGAACAAUUCUGCUGCCUUAUGUUCCUUUCGUUUUUGCUCUGCAAAUAUCCAAAGCAAUGACUCGAACUAUGUUUUUAAUUGUCGCAUGUCUGUUUUAGGUUGCCUCAAAAGAAUGAAA
rnacentral:misc_RNA from 1 species